rnacentral:pre_miRNA from 1 species
AGGGGGAGCACAGGAUCCUGGGCUGUGCCCCCUGGUGCCCUGGGAUCUGGGGCCUGCGCUGCUGGAAUCGUGCUCCUGGGCCGUACUCCCG